GUAGUCUGCAACUCGACUACAUGAAGCUGGAAUCGCUAGUAAUCGCAGAUCAGAAUGCUGCGGUGAAUACGUUCCCGGGUCUUGUACACACCGCCCGUCACACCAUGGGAGUCGGGAAUGCCCGAAGUCAGUGACCCAACCUAUUGGAGGGAGCUGCCGAAGGCAGGUCUGAUAACUGGGGUGAAGUCGUAACAAGGUACC
rnacentral:rRNA from 1 species